AUUGAACGCUGGCGGCAGGCCUAACACAUGCAAGUCGAGCGGAUGAGGAAAGCUUGCUUUUCGAUUCAGCGGCGGACGGGUGAGUAAUGCCUAGGAAUCUGCCUGUUAGUGGGGGAUAACUCGGGGAAACUCGGGCUAAUACCGCAUACGUCCUACGGGAGAAAGUGGGGGAUCUUCGGACCUCACGCUAACAGAUGAGCCUAGGUCGGAUUGGCUAGUAGGUGAGGUAAUGGCUCACAGAGGCGAAGAUCCGUAACUGGUCUGAGAGGAUGAGCGGUCACACUGGAACUGAGACACGGUCCAGACUCCUACGGGGAGCAGCAGUGGGGAAUAUUGGACAAUGGACGAGAGCCUGAUCCAGCCAUGCCGAGUGGGUGAAGAAGGUCUUCGUAUUGUAAAGAACUUUAAGUUGAGAGGAAGGGUAUUCACCUAAUACGUGGGUACUUUGACGUUACCAACAGAAUAAGCACCGGCUAACUCUGUGCCAGCAGACGCUGUAAUAC
rnacentral:rRNA from 1 species